rnacentral:rRNA from 1 species
UGGCGGCGUGCCUAACACAUGCAAGUCGAGCGGAGUCGGUAAGAGGAAGUUUCGGAUGGAAUCUUAUUGAUUUAGCGGCGGACGGGUGAGUAACGCGUGAGCGACCAACCUUGCACAGGGGAUAACGGACCGAAAGGUUCACUAAUACCGCAUGAGACCACGGUGUUGCAUGACACAGAGGUCAAAGGAGCAAUCCGGUGCAAGACGGGCUCGCGUCCGAUUAGGUAGUUGGAGGGGUAACGGCCCACCAAGCCUAUGAUCGGUAGCCGACCUGAGAGGGUGAUCGGCCACAUUGGAACUGAGAUACGGUCCAAACUCCUACGGGAGGCAGCAGUGGGGAAUAUUGGGGCCAAUGGGGGAAACCCUGACCCAGCAACGCCGCGUGAAGGAAGAAGGUUUUCGGAUUGUAAACUUCUGUCCUUGGUGAAGAGAAGAAGACGGUAGCCAAGGAGGAAGCCCCGGCUAACUACGUGCCAGCCGCCGC